GCUGACUACGUGCCAGCGUGGGGGGUAAAGCGUGGGGGGCGAGCGGUUGCGGGAUGCAUUGUGGGUGAGGGGCGCGGAGGCGGAGCGGAAAGUCGGUCGGGAAAGGCCGGGGCUCAACGCCGGGACUGCGUCCGAUACUCUCGAGCUGGAGGCAGGUAGGGGAGAUCGGAAUUCCUGGUGUAGCGGUGAAAUGCGCAGAUAUCAGGAGGAACACCGGUGGCGAAGGCGGAUCUCUGGGCCUUGCCUGACGCUGAGGCGCGAAAGCUAGGGGAGCGAACAGGAUUAGAUACCCGUGUAGUC
rnacentral:rRNA from 1 species